UCAACAAAGGACACACUGAGUUUCCAAGAAAAGUAAACUCUUAAGUGAAUUUCCGGUAAAUCCAAGUAUUUCUGCUGAUGAACUGAGGAAACGUCAGAAAGUGUGUGCUCAAAGAAGCACUGUGGGACCUCGAAGGCACAGCUAACCUAUCAGGCACAGGGGCGGGACCCGGAAGGCACAGCUGACCUAUCAGGCACAGAGCAGUGUGCUUUGCGCAGACCUCGCAGCCAUUCAAAGUUUACAGCCCAGGAACACAGGAUGAAGCACAAAAGGCGCAACCUGGUACAGGAACUGCGGGGUGAGCUCAAGGAUCCAAGAAGCUGUCUUUCUCCUCCUCCAUGUGGCCACUGAAAUCAGCACGCCUAGACACCAUUCAACCUCCAAAAGCUCCUGUUCUGGAGAGGCACCUGUUGUGUGAGACACUUCCUGAAAGAAGUGACCAGACCUCUACUCACCUCAGAGUGGGCACCACAACGAACCGAGGUCACCAUUCUUCUCAAGUCCAACCUAGCAAGCCAGUGGAUUUAUUGGUGUUGCUUACAGAGCAGGAGAGUAUGGGUGAGGGGGUGCUGGUGGGAGCAUGAAUGACUGACAGGCAGCUGCAUCGCUGAAAAGCCCACCCCGUGAGAGCUGCAGCCUAGAGCUCUGUACUUGGCUUGCAGGCAGCUCAACAGGUCAGACCGCCUCCCUCCUCCUUAGUCCUCUGUAGGCUCAUGGACUAAAAGCCAUCCGAGGGAAGCCAUCUGAAGCUGGAGAGAUGCUUGGCUUGGCAGUGAGGAUCCCUAGUUGCUCUUGUAGAGGAUCCAGGUUUUGUUCUCAGUCUCUACCUGGUGGCUCACAACUGCCUGUAACUUCGGUUCUAAAGGACCCCACACUCUCAUCUUGUAAGGGAGCCCCAGAGUGGGCACAGAACACACCCAGACACCAAAUUCUCACCACAAAGGAGAGUUUUUCACCCAGGAAGGACAAGGCAGGGGUGGGUGGACUGCCUCUGGGUUGAGCAAAGGCAGACAGAAGGUAUUAUUUUCAAGAGUGGCUUUUUAAGGAGAUGGAGGGGAAGUCUGUGUUAGGCUGAGUUGGGAAGUCCUGCUUGGACCUGUACACCAGGGAGGCCAAAGCAUGAACUUUGAUUGUUGGGCCAUAUUAGAGAGCCCUUCACUUCUGACUUCCCAGGGCCCUGAGCAUACAUGGCGCACACAUAUGCUUAAAAUAACUCAAUAUUUAAAACUAGAGAAAUGUAUCGUCUUAGUGGAUCUUGAACAAAGCAACUAUAAAAAAUUUUUUGUGUGUUAAGCUAUCAGAAAGGUUUAUUUUAUGGAUAUGAUACAGCACAUUGAUUGAUUCGGAUCUAAUGACCCACCACUGAACCCCUGGAUGAGUCCUAUCUGAACAUGGAUACUUUAAUGCACUACGGGAUUUGAUUUUUUGCUGUUUUACUGGAGAUUUUAAUGUCCAACUUCCAUCAAGCACUCUGUCCUAUAACUUUUAUUUAUGUUGUUGGGUUUUUUUUUCCUCUUGGUUUUUCCAGAUAGAGUUUCUCUGUGCAGACCUAGCUGUCCUGAAACACUCUGUGGACCAGGUUGGCCUUGAACUGAUACAGAUCCGUCUGCCUCUGCCUCCUGAGUGCUGGGAUGAAAGGGGUGUGGGAAACGCCUGGCUUUUGCUGUGUUCUUAACCUUGUUUUGUCAGGAAGGUGAAAGUGACUGUCUCUGGGUCUGGAGAAAUUGUAUCCACUUUUAUGAUACAGAAUAACGUAAGGAGAUUGGUGUUAUCUGUAGAGAAUACAGUCUUAGGUAUUCAACACUGAUACCGCCUGGUCCUAAGCUUUCUAUGUUAGGAAUUUUUGUUGUUGUUGUUGCUGUUGUUGUUGUUACCUUGUGUCAUAACCUACAGUUUGGCUACAGUUUCCUAAAUCUUCAUGAUUCCCUCUUGGUAAUGUGUAUGGAUUUGUACGUUUUCCAUUUCUUCUAAUUAUGAAACUUGGCAUGCAACUGUUUCCAGUGCGUGCUAAGUCUUGCAGGUUUCUGUGCUCACCUCUGUGUCUGUCUGAGAGAGGUUCCUCUCUCUUCAGCCACACUAGCUACAGGAGCGUCUAUUUCUUAACCUUUCUGAAGAACCAGCUCUUCGCCCCUCUCACAUUUUCACCCUGUAGUCCUCAUUCCACUGAUUCAUGUGAUUAUCUUUGGGUCCCCCCCCCUACUAACUUUUGGGUUCCAUUUGUUCCAAUGGCAGUUUAGUUGCUUCAAAUCUUUCUAUAUUUUGAUAUAGCCACUGAUUUGUACAAACUUUUUUGGCACUGCCUUAACUGUACCCUAUAGACAUUGGUAUGUUGAGAGUAUUUUCAAGAAAAUACUCUUAUUUUUAAAAAACGUUCUUCCUUGAUCUAUCGAGUGUCCAAAAAUCAGUGGUUUCGUUACAGUGUUUCCUUCAUUGUUUAUCUCUAGCCGAACUGCAUUCCCAUGAAAGGAUACUUGACAUGGUCUCGGUUUAGGGCCCCCAUAGGAUGAAUCCUAUAGAACGUUCCCUGCAGUGAUUAGGAGAAUGUGCAUCCGAUAGCUGUUGGCUGGAAUGCUCUGUGCGCAUGUCAGCUUUAUUAUGUGUAGGAUGAAAUCUCACUCUCCCGUUUCUUUGUGGCCUGGAUAAUCUGUCAUUGCCAAAGGUUUGUGUUAAGACCCUUAGCUGUUCCAGUAUUUGAGCAUAUUUAUCUAUCUCUGUGGGCCUAUCAUUACUUUGACUUAUAUAUUUAAUUCCCCAAAUAAUGAAUUCAUAAUUUUUACAUUAAUUGUGUGCCAUAUGCCCAAAAUAAUGUGCAGUGAUAUUGAGCUAAUACUGCUGUGGUCCCCACUGGGUGGCAAGCACUACUUUAAAUGUUUGACACUUAGCUCUUUUUCUAAACCUUGUAUCGAUUCUAUGUGAGCUUCAUAUCAUGCACCCCAGCUCCCCUCAGCCCCCUGCACCCACAUAUCCAUCCUUUGCCCUUGCAACCUCCCCCCAGUAAAAAACACAUACAAACAACAACAGGAAACAAACAGCACAGAAAACAUCUCAUCAUGGGAGCCGUAGUGUGUCACAGCACGUCCCACAAUAUAUCCUUCCAUCCACACAACUUCACUGGCAAAUGUUCGUUGCAAUGAGUCAUUGGUCUGGUUCGAGAUUUCUGGCUUCUGUGACAUCAUCAAUAUUGGAUCCUCAUCAGGACUCCUCCCACUUAUCCUGCUGUUCCCUGUGUCAUGGAGAUCCUGUAGUUUUGAACCAUCAGGCCUGGCCCUUUCACAUGCCCCAACCAUGCAGAUGAUAGAGAUUUUAGAUUGGACCAUUUGAGAGCUCUUGAUCUGGGCCUGGGUGGUAGUUGAGGUGGUCAUCCCAUUGGUUCUCCCUUAUCUGCUCUCCAGGGCGAGCUCUCCAGAUGGCUCUAGCUAGGCCACCCCCAAUGCCACCAUCAGCAGGAAGCACGGUCAGCUCUCAAACCCUCAAAUCCACUCACCUGCACCCAUGCCUCCAGAGCGGGCUCCACUACACUGCCUAGUCAAGGCCUGGAUGGGGCCCACUCUCCCAAGUGCUAAAGCCUGUGAGGGGCUGAGCCAGCCCUCCUGUUCUCACUACUGCAGACAGUGGGAGGGAAAGGAGAAGAGAACCAUCAACACCUCCACACUACCUCAUGCCAGACAGGUUGUAGGACCAGCUCUCCCACCCUUGCCCUUGGGGCCAGUUCGCUUGUACUACUGUGCUGCCUAGGAGAGGUCAGGGCCCCGCUCUCCCAGGAGCUACAGCUGAUGAAGGCCAGGGCUAGCUCUCCCAAGCUCGUGGCCCCUGUGGUCAGCUUUCACGACUGCUGGAGUGGUAAGGGCAGGGGGAAAGGGAGCCAUUACCUCUGAGCCCAUGAUACUCUACAGCAGACAACCAGCAGAGUCACUUCUCCAAGGCUCACACACUUGGGGCCAGUUCACCUAUACCCCAUCCACCAGGGCCAGCUCUACUGUGCUACCUGGGCAAGGCAUAGACAGGGCCUUCUCUCCUGAGUGCUGCCAGCAGUGAGAGUGUCACAUCCAGUGAGGGGUGGGGCCAGUUCCUCACAGCCCCUGGACAUCCAGGUAGUCCCCUGCAGCUUCCCCAGCCAGGGAUGUCCCCAUGUUCUCCAGUGGUAAUAUGAGCCACAGACAUUGACACCGACCCCGUCACUGCUUAGCCACUGACUCAGGCAUCGUCCUCAGUGGAGUCACCUUGGCUCCAGGUGACAAGGCUGGCCACUCACAAUAGGCUCUUCCUCUCCACCCUCCAGUUCCAUCUCUCUUCAUACUGCUCAAGCUGCCCCAUUUCUGUUUCUCUCCCAUCUGACCACCACAUGCUAGCACAUCGUGGUGAUCCCAGCCGAGGACUGGCCACACGACUGGCACGCCUCUGGGGGACAUCCUCCAUCCACACUUCGUGGUGUCUCAGGUGUGCUGUGCAGUGGGGGGGAGGGGACGUGGAUGGCAUUGUAAUCCCCAGGUCUCUGUCUUCCUCCUUCUACCUGGAUGUGAUUUGAUUUUUCAUGAGUCCCAGGCAUAAAACAGCUUUGGCCACCAAGCUAGGAUGAACAAAGAACCACCACCUGCUCUGCCCCUGAUGUAAGCGCACCACCACCAACAUGGCGUCCCUUCGCCCACCGCCGGGUGGGGGGGGCAUAUAUGUUUAGAAUUGCUAUUUCUUCUUGCUAAAUUGGUGACUUUGUUAUUCUGUAUCAACCUCUUAGCUAUUUUUACUCUUUAGAUAUAUAUAUAUAUAUACAUAUAUAUAUAUAUACUCUAUUUUAUUGCUAUUGAUAUAAUCAGGUUCUCUUUACAUUUCUGUCAUGUAUAUCUUUAAAGGUCCAGUAAGGGUUUUUUUGUAACAUAUUUGGGUGUCAUCAUUUAUACACUUAGCGAUUCCAUGCCUUUUAACAGAAGAAUUUGGUCCAUUUACGUUUAAGGUAAUUAUUGACAGUAAAGGUCUUACAAUCAACCUUAUGUAACUUGGUUUUCUAACGGGGGUUUCUCCCCUUCUCCCACAGCUUCCCCUUAGUGGAUGUGUAUACUCCACAUACCUUCCUGCGCUGUCUCCUUAUUCGUUAAUGUCUCCUCGUUUUAGCUCAAGGUCUUACUAUAGCAUUGCUGGUAGAGGAGCCUGAAUGGAAGCAUACUUUCUCAGCUUUCAUUUUUCUGGGAAAAAUCUCUCUCUCUCUUUCUUUUCUAAGGGAUUAUUUUUUUUUUCUGAACACAAUGCUUUCGGCUGGUUUUUGAAGUUCUUUGUGCUGAAAAAAAAUCUCUGGUGCCUCUCCCCUGACCCAUGGGAUUUCUCCUGAGGAGUGAGGCUGUGUGGAUUGCAAUGCCCACAUGCUGUUUCUUUCCUGUUGAAACCUUGAGGUCUUCCUCUUUAACAUUCACCCCUGAGAGCUUGAUUUUAAGAUCUUAGAGCAGACUUAAAUGAGCUGCCUCUUCCCUCACGGUGUCUCUUCACUGUAACAGAACAGUAGCCGAGACGUGGAUUACAACCUGUAGGCCCAGUAAACCCUGUUCUCCACAGGUGCCUUUAUCACCACUCUGGGAAGCAGGCAAGACUGCUGAACUAUUCUUCACACAGAGACAGGAAGUGGCCUGUAGUCUGUCCUCAUAAGACUCAGGCUAGAACCCAGGGAGGGCUCAAUGCCUCGUUCUGUGAUGCCCUUGGUUAGACAUUGCAGGAUUCUGUCUGGCUCUAGGAAGACUCACUGUAGAUGGACCAACCCUGGCUUCCUCUGCUACUCCUGUGCACAGCAGUGUGUGUCACCCCCUGAGGUGACAACACACUAGAACCAGCACAACACUGGGCUAAGACCAUGUCCCACGCAUCUAUUGUCUAUCUGUAGUUGCGGUGGACUUGUGUCUGGCCGUACCUGACCACAGUUUAUACAUUAGAACAAAGUCUGAGAGACUCCAGCCAUGUGUCACCACUAGAGUCACAUCUAUAGCCAGGUCUGGUAAUGGGGAGCCUGAGUCUUCUCACUGUUAGUGUUUGCUGGUCCAACACUAAAUUCCAUGGGCAAUCUGAUACUUAUUUCUGCAUCCUAACACUUGUCUGCUGCCUGAGGUUGGAGUUAAGCUGACACAGGCAGUCCUUUGGCUGUACAGGUAGCUGCCAAAUCUCCCAAUUCUGAGAAUGUAUGCUGUCUUAGGAAUGCACCGCUGUCCUACGUAUCCGAUGAGGAUGUGAUUCAAGGCAUAAAUCUCUCCCACCAGAGCUCAGGUGGCUUCCUGGGAUUGUGGAAAAUGCUACAGUCCCAACUGAGAGCCCUAUCCUGACAAAGCUACUGUGACCGAGGUUGCAAGAUGGAUGCUGAAAACAGUCCUUCAGCUGCCAACUCAGUGUUAAAUGGGUCACACCUGAGUCUCACAUUAUACAUUAGAUGUGACCCAGACCCAUCCCAAGGUUGGAACUGAUAUGGACAGCAAUUGGCUUUGCCUCCCAAUACACAGGACUUGGUCUGCUGCCCGAGUGGUCUCUGAGAGUUUCUAUCUAGUGAGUGUGAGUGCUUGUCCGUGCCUCAGCAGGCCUGUCACCAGCACUCCAGACAUCCCUGUGUGAGCAUUUGUAUCCUGAUCUUCAGCAAGUGAAGUCUGGCUUCCCUCUGGCACCUGAGUGAAAAAGUGUGAGCUGCCUAUGGAUCUCAAUUAGUUUCAGUCUGUGAGGGUUAAGCCAAAGAUUGGAGCCCUGGGACUCUGCCUCGUAUUGUAACACACUCAGGUAGCACUGUUACUUGGGUUUUGUUUUUAUAAAUGCACUGUGGUGUGUGUGUGUGUGUGUGUGUGUGUGCAUGUGUGUGUGUGCAUGUCUGUGUGUGUGUGCAUGUGUGUGUGCGUGUGUGUGUGUGUGUGUGUGUGUGUGUCCACAGGGCUGUAGGAUCCUUUGGAACCGGGAUCAGUUACAAGCAGACGGCACUGCCACGUGAAUGCUGACAACUGAACCCAGGCCCUUUAGGAGAGCCCUAGGCACUCCAAACCGUGUCUCUCCAGACCCUGCUGCUACUGGUUUGAUUGUAAGAUAGGAGUUGGUCAGAUCUCCUUCCCCGAAGUAGGAGGUGUCCUUCCUGUCCUUGUACCUGGAGAUGGUGUUUUAGUUAGGGUUUCACUGCUGUGAGCAGACACUAUCACCAAGGUAACUCUUAUAAAGGACAGCAUUUAAUUGGGGCUGGCUUACAGGUUCAGAGGUUCAGUCCAUUAUCAUCAAGGCCGGAGCAUGGCAGCAUCCAGGCAGGCAUGAGGCUGGAGGAGCUAAGAGUUCUAUAUCCUCAACCAAAGGCUGACAAGAGAAGACUGGGUUCCAAGGCAGUUAGGAUGAGGGUCUUAAAGCCCAUACCCACAGUGACACACCUACUCCAACAAGGCCACACCUCCUAAAAUGCCACUCUCCAGGGCCAAGCAUAUACAAAGCAUCACAUAUGGGGAGGGAUAAUAAUCCCCUUACGGCUUCUUUAGUGAAUUUUCAUUUUGUUACACCACACUGGGCACUCUACUCUCUCCCCAGUUUCCCAAGCACCUGCAAAGGCUCCUUUGGUGUCCGACAUCUGUUGGCCUUGAACUGUCCAUGGGGAAACAACUUCCAGAAGACCCUGUUCAUCUGCCCUCUCUCCCUGUCUCCGACCAUUCAAAUGAACUACCCAUGCUCAAGGUUCUGCCGCAGGCUCUGCUUUGGGCUUCAGGUGAAGCAUUUCCACUGGAAGAGCAGAGGUUGAAUACAGCGGAAGACCUCAACCAGCGUCCACAAAAAUCACACAGCAGCGGACGGGACUUGGGGAGCAUUUGCCCAAUUCGGGUGAUUUCCUCACUAACUCUGACAGAAGAGUCACCUGACUUCCCAGGGAAAACAAUGGCAGAUUGAUUUGGCUACCUGGGCAUCUGUGGCUCUAGGAGUUGUCGUUCAUCAACAUUAAGCUGACUUCUUUGCAAAGGAUCUUACAAUCACAUAGACUUGAGUUUUAAAGUUCACAUGCAUGGAAUGUCUCUGCCCUGCUCUGAGGGAGCUCAGAGGUCUCCGUUUAACAACUGCCUUGAAGAUGAAAACCAUACGUUGUGGGCAAGAGGCUGGAGCUGUGAUUCGGUUGGCCACGUGGGCCGGGCACAAAGGAAGGCCUGGGCUCAGUCUCCAGGAGGCAUAAUCGAGGCACGGUGCACACACCUGUGAUCCUAGUGCUUGAUAGGUAGAGACAAGAAGAUCAGAAGUUCAAAUUCAAGGUCAUCCUUAGCUACAUAGCUGGCCACGUGCCCAAGGGAUGGAUGAGAUUCUGAUCAGCAUUUACCCGUGCAUGGUGGAGCCGUAGAAAGGAGGCAAGGCCACGGCUAGGCUGUCAACAUUCUGUCACGGAAGUGGGGAGGAGCUCGUGAGGCCCCCACCUCUGCCGCCUGAGGAGCUGGUUACUGGCUUUUAACUCUUUUUAAUUAACAGCCCUUAACAGGACCUCUGCAUGACCACCUCCAAAACCCAGGGACAUGACAGAAGAGGAAACAAAAAGACUGUAAGAACCGGAAGAUGGGAAAGAAUACUAUGCGACACCAUCUUGUAGAUAUGACACAGCUGUUGCAAUAGUGAACACGCAGCACCUAUGGCCACCUGCACAGGACAUACAUACAUGCAGACAGACAGGAGGCUGGAGAGAUGGCUCAAUUGUUAAGAACACACACUGUUCCCUCCAGAGGACCAAUUUGGUUCCCUGCACCCUGUUGAACUGCGCAUCACCACCAGUAACUCCAGAUCCACGGGAACCAGCGCCCUCUGCUGACCACUCCAGGCACUGCACUCAUAUACCCGUGUCCCCAUGCUUGUCAUGAACAGACACUUAAUUAAAAAUUAAAAAAAUAGGGGUUGGGGAUUUAGUUCAGCGGUAGAGCGCUUGCCUAGCGAGCGCAAGGCCCUGGGUUCGGUCCCCAGCCCCGAAAAAAAAAAAAGAAAAAAGAAAAAAAAAGAAAAAGAAAAAAUUAAAAAAAAUAUUUAACUGGACAAAAACGGGGAAAUGUUGUGGUUUGCCCUGAAGUUAUCUGUAUUUUGAUGCUAAUUCCACUGCCCCAAGGACAGUUGCCUAGUCACGUGACUUCACCAGAACCACCACCUCAUUGAUUUGUAAAGUACAGGUGAGGGGCAGGAACAGGAUAGAAGGAGGCCUGUUAUUGGAGGAGGAGGAAGGAUGGGUGGGAGAGAAGUUUGAAAGAAGAGGAGGAGACUGGAGGAGAAAGGGGAGACAGGAGAGGAGAAAGGGGAGAAGCCCUGGCAGGUGAUGUUAAGAUUCUGCUGUGUAUUUACAGGUUAUUAUCAAUGUUCCUAAGGGAUGGAUGGUACCGGGCUUUGUAUGUUUAAGUGGGAAAUGAUAUCUUAUCAAUUGGAUCUAAAAGAACAAAAAAAAUUAAAAAAUAUAUUUUUAAAGCUUUGAAAGAAUUUUUGAGUCAGCGAAAGCUGCCACCAGACUAGAUAAUAGUUUCUUAACUCUAUAUGUCAGAGAAAACAGUUGUUUAUGAACUCUACAGAAGUAUUUCCUUUUGAAUUAUUUUGUGAUUUAGUUACUGGACAAGAGAGUUCUGGAUAAAUCAGGAAUCUGUCCAUAAACUUCAGAAAGGGUGACAGAAAUGAAUGUAGCACACAUCAGUAAUUCCGGCAGAUGCGCUUGGAUUUCUGUGAGUCUGAGGACAGCCUGGUCUAUACAGUCAGCUCUAUGCCAGCCAGAGCUACAGAGCUACAGAGAAGCCCCGUCCACCCCCCCCCCCAAAAAAAGCCUGUAGACAUAAACUGACACAAGUUUAGGAGUUCAAGGCCCACCUACAUAAUGAGUUCUAGAACCAGAUCCUCCAGAUACACAAAGAACAAACUACUUCUUUGACUUUGAUUAAAAAAAAAAAAAAAACAACUAUGUCAUACUAAAGUCUCGUAAGAAUUCUAAACUGGCUAUGGGAGAUUUACAAGGGUUUUGCCUGGUAUUUCUUGGACAUGAAAAUAGGAAUAUUUCUCUUUCCCUCACAUA